UACAGAGUAGCGAAGUAUUGAGCACUUCAUCUUUUUCUGCAUUUAAUCAACCGACUGCUUGCUAUUGACGUUUGGGGCGUACUGCGGAUAUUACCACCCCCCUCAGUCUAAUCGUCUACCAUGUGUUUGUUUACCCGAGCGCGUGUGGCUGUAAGUGACUGCCUACCUUUGGGUCUGUCGUUCUUUGUGAUACGUUUCUACAAACACACGAAUCUGUAUGAAUGUAAGAAGAAUCAUUUAUUUUGUUUGCGUGUAGUGAGGGCUAUUGGAGCUUUCGGUUGAUUGUUGAAAAAAACCAUUAAUUUAUUUGGCCUCACUACACUAUGCUUGUGUCCGUUGGAGAGCUGGCUUUUUGAAAGAAUUAAAAAA